UGAUCGAUUCCGGAACUGAACUCUCAUGGGUCUGCAGUUACAUUAUAUCGGAGCAUCGUGUAGCACCAUGAGAUUCAGCUCCGGCGUUUGAUAC
rnacentral:pre_miRNA from 1 species